rnacentral:tRNA from 1 species
GGGGAUUUAGCUCAGUGGCAAAAGCGCCUGACUUGCAAGCAGGCAGCCAUGAGUUCGAUCCCCG